rnacentral:rRNA from 1 species
UCGAGGAUCUUUAGCAAUGCCCGAAAGGGUGACUAUGCGACGCCGCGUGUGGGAUGAAGGCCUUCGGGUCGUAAACCACUGUCAGGGAGGAAGAAACCUUACGUGUUAACAGCGCGUAAGCUGACAUCACUCCCAAAGGAAGCCACGGCUAACUCUGUGCCAGCAGCCGCGGUAAGACAGAGGUGACAAGCGUUGUUCGGAUUUAUUGGGUGUAAAGGGUCCGUAGGUGGCCUAACAAGUCUGAUGUGAAAUCCCAUGGCUCAACCGUGGAACUGCAUUGGAAACUGUUGGGCUUGAGUACCGCAGAGGUAAAGGGAAUUCCCGGUGUAAGGGUGAAAUCUGUAGAUAUCGGGAGGAACACCAGUGGCGAAGGCGCUUUACUGGGCGGUUACUGACACUGAGGGACGAAAGCAAGGGGAGCAAACAGGAUUAGAUACCCCAGUAGUCCCUGAGCGGGCUGGCAAGGCGCAU